UUAUUACCAAGCGCUUAAUGCUAUCGAAGUUUCAGCUGUUGGAUGAAGGAAUGUGCGGUUAGGAUGAUAGUAGUUCCUAGUUAGGAUGAUAGUGGUUCUCUACGUACGGUUGAGUGGGUGGUUGGUUGAAUAGUAUGAUCUAAUGCGUAAAAAUAGUCAAAGAGGUAGAUUCAACGACAAAAAACUCGAUAGUACCAAGCGUUUGGUAUUAUUGAUAGUAUAGUAGUCAGACUAUAUAUAUAUAUAUAUAUAUAUAGAGAGAGAGAGAGAGAGAGAGAGAGAGAGAGAGAGAGAGAGAGAGAGGGAGUACACACUGAACUUUAGCAAAUUGCAAGGUUCUAGUGUUCGAAUAGUAUUUAGUACUAUU
rnacentral:lncRNA from 1 species